AUACUUACCUGGCAGGGGAGAUACCAUGAUCACAAAGGUGGUUUUCCCAGGGCGAGGCUUAUCCAUUGCACUCCGGAUGUGCUGACCCCUGUGAUUUCCCCAAAUGUGGGAAACUCGACUGCAUAAUUUGUGGUAAUGGGGGACUGACUGCGUUCGCGCUCUCCCCUG
rnacentral:snRNA from 1 species